GGCGACGUGGCCAAGUGGUAAGGCAGAGGCCUGCAAAGCCUUCAUCACCGGUUCGAAUCCGGUCGUCGCCUCCA
rnacentral:tRNA from 1 species